GCUCCCGUAGUCUAGUCCGGUCAAGGAUCGGGGCCUUUCGAGCCUCAGACGCGGGUUCGAAUCCCGCCGGGAGCA
rfam:Euryarchaeota archaeon RBG_19FT_COMBO_69_17 rbg_19ft_combo_scaffold_101, whole genome shotgun sequence.